UGGCAACUGUUCUGCUUUCAGCAGCUACUUUUCUGGUUUGAAGGGGGGAAGGAAAAAAAAACUGGGGAGAACUAGGCGGCUUUCUGAUCAGAGUUCAGAUAAAAAGGGUCACAGUAAUUUGUGGGCACUGACUAAAAUAACCCAAUGGAUUUGAGAGUUACCGCAAAAGAAGCAAACAGACAAACUAAAGAGGACUUGAACUUGGGUACUGACAAAUGAAGAUGAUGAACUUAUGUUUUUUACCUUCUUACCGUGGACUUCAGCCAUGAACUUGGUGAUGAGCCAGAGAAGGUAACUUUUCAUCCCCUAGUUUUUCUGGGAAGAGCAGAACACAGGAGUUGGGGUGCAGACCUCCUGGAUCACCAGCAGAAGGAAAAGAGCAGUGAGACGUUAAAGUGAUUGAGACAAAAAUGGAAGUAAAACAGCUUAAGGCUUUCUGAGAUCGAGUUCCUGGCAGUGUCAUCAGCAGAUGGUUUCUUCUGAAGUUCAGGGGAAGAGAAGAUGCUCGAAGAACUCUCCAGGGACUGAGUGGGUGGUACAGAGCUAGUGCUGUAGAUGCCAUGUAUACAGGCAAAUUCCCCAAUGAGUGUUUUCCAAUAUCAAGUUUAACUGGCAUUUAAGAUAUAUGCCAAAGGUAGGUAAAUUAUUUUGGCCUGUGCUUAUAGGUUUAUUUCCCUGGAUGAAGCUUUCUGUCUCUGUCCUAGUGCACUGUAGCAGAUGCAGGGUCUUUCCAUACAAUACAUUAAAAGCUGCAUCUCAUUUUAAAUAUAUUAUAGAAACCCUGAUCAUACAAUACAUACAAGAUUUUUAAGAUCAGCCUUCAGUCGAUUUUUUUGCUUUAUUUUUGUUCUGGAGGUCAAAAUGAGUGGUUAACUGUCUAAGUUGAUUGCAGAGAAAGUUACUACUCAUUCUAAACGUAGGUUUUUAGAAAAGUGUUCUUGGCAGUUGCUACCAUUGGCUUUUUCCAACUUACAUGGGAAUCAAGAUUCAGAACUGGUACACCAAUGGGAAGAGCCUGGAAAAUAGACUAUUGAUCAAGAUGAAUCUGGUCCAGAUACUUUAAGACCUUUUCAGUGUGUUUUUAAGAUUAUAAGUUUGAACUAACAGAAACUUCAAUGCUGUUUUUUCACAAGUCAAUGUGUAGUGUACUGUUAUUCUUUUUUUUCCUGUAAUAUCUUAAUAAUAUUCCUGGCUGUAAGAAAAAGUUAACACUAUACCUAUGUUUUGACUUACUUUAUAGAAGACCCAAACAAUAUUUAACAAAAGGAUUUUUCUCAAAUACUAUUUUGAAAUCACUAUAUUAGACACUAUCUUAAAUUUAUUUCUCAAUUUGCUUCUUUUUGAAACUUCCACAUUUUGGUGUUCUUUUCAGCAUCACUCAUUUUCUUUCAUAAUAAAGAUACCCAAUAACAAUAUCAUAAUAAAGAUUUGAUAACAAAUCUCCAGUUUUGGAGUGUUACAUUUCAUAUCUACAUGCUUACAGAGAAUUUAGUAUGAAUAUUCCCUGGCCUUAGUUCCUCUAAGCCUAGGAUACUUGUAGUCAUUUGGCAAAUAAUUUAAUCCAUGGCAAACAUGAGUCUUAAUACAAAAAUUAUUGAGUAGGCAAAAAAUAAUUGAACAUAUUUUGGACUGAUUACCAGUGCAUUAAAAAAGUAGAGGUUUAAGGAUGAGAAUAAUAAGUUUUUUUGUUUUUACUUAAAUUUAUAUAAAAGGAGUGAAAAUACAGUAGCCUAUAGUACUUAAGAGUGUGGGUAUAUUUUCAGCACUUAAUAAUUACUAGUUGAAUUGCAUAAUAUGGGACUAUAACUGAUAUGGUUUGGCUCUGUGUCCCCGCCCAAAUCUCAUGUUGAAUUAUAAUUUCCAAUAUUGGAGGAGGUACCUAGUGGGAGGUGACUGGAUCAUUGGGGGAAAUUUCCCCCUUGCUGUCCUCAUGAUAGUGAGUGAGUUCUCACAAGAUCUGAUGGUUUAAAAGUGUGUGGCAUUUCCCCCUUUACUCUUUCUCUCUCCUGCUGGCCAUGAGAAUAAGUGCUUGCUUCCCAUUCACCUUCUGCCAUGCUUGUGUUUCCUGAGGCUUCCCAGCCAUGCUUCUUGUUCAAGCUGCAGAACUGUGAGUCAAUUAAACCUCAUUUCUUCAUAAAUUACCCAGUCUCAGCUCUUUAUGGGAGUGUGAGAAUGGACUAAUAAAAUAUCUCUAGAAUUAUGUUUUUGGAGAUAAUUUAAAGAUAAACAAAUAUUGGAAACCUCAUUUGAUCACACAGAGAACAGUAAAUGGAAGUUCUACUUUUUCUCCAGGGCCUUUCUCAUGCUUAUGCAGGGAUUAUUCACCCAGAUAUCCUGAAAUAAGACAUCCAAUUAAGGUACCUGCUAUCUCAUGUAACACAGAAGAAAGUUGAGCAUAGAGGUUAAACAUUACCUAAUAUUGUUGGAAAAGCUUCGAAGCGUUCAUUUUCAAAGCAGCUAAUGUAAACCAUGAUAAUCACUAGUAGCACUAUGCCAUUUUAAAUACUUCAAUAUUUUGUAGUUAUUAGAUUCUAAGUAAGUAUAAAAUGUAGUGAAUACAAAUUUUAUUUGCCUAAACAGUGUUAGACAAUAUAAAUUAACGAGUUAUUUUUUAUUCUGUUUAAUAUUUUCAAGCCAAUAAACACUUUACUAAAGUA
rnacentral:lncRNA from 1 species